rnacentral:rRNA from 1 species
AUUGAACGCUAGCGGGAUGCUUUACACAUGCAAGUCGAGCGAGUGGCGGACGGGUGAGUAAUAUCUGGGAACGUGCCCAGUAGCGGGGGAUAACUACUGGAACAAGUGGCUAAUACCGCAUACCAUUAGAGAUGCCGAUAUCGGAUUAGCUAGUUGGGGGGGUAAUGGCUCACCAAGGCGACGAUCCGUAGCUGGUUUGAGAGGAUGACCAGCCAAACUGGGACUGAGACACGGCCCAGACUCCUACGGGAGGCAGCAGUGGGGAAUUUUGGACAAUGGGGGAAACCCUGAUCCAGCCAUCCCGCGUGUAUGAGAAGGCCUUCGGGUUGGAAAGUACUUUUGGCAGAGAAGCGGUAUCUGCAGAAUAAGCACCGGCUAACUACGUGCCAGCAGCCGCGGUAAUAC